GCUGCCGUAAAAUCUUGAACAUUUCUCUUCGUAUACACAUGGAAGAAUUUCUCUGCUAGAAAAGAAGAUGCCGAGUUGUAGGGAAUAUACACCUUCAACUUCACUAGACAUUACCAAUUUACAGCUCAUUCACUGCAUAUGAGAGUUCCCUUUAUCCACAUUUUUUUCCUUAAAGUCAUCUCUACUCAACUAUGGACUCCUUAGGGACAGACUCACAUCUUAUUCAUCUUUGUAUCCCAACACUUAACAUACUUCUUGGCAUAAGGGAGAGAGGAUUCAUCAACGUCCCAAGAAGAGCUACUUUAGGACUCUAAAAUUAGAAAUGUGCAUCCAGGGAAAGAGGGUCCUUCCCAGUGCUCUGGAAGAAAAGUCCAAAUCUUUUUCCUAGGUCCCUCUUAUGGCUUGAUCAGUGCCCCUGUUGGUACUGCUGCCUUGUACAUAAGGACUAAAACUCUACCAGCCUGCCCAUCUUGAAGCUUUCAAAAGAUUUUGAUCCAUGAUAAUGAAACAACAGUGCUCUAUUUUUACUACAUUUACUCUGCAGCCUAUCUUUACUUCCAGACUUUCCCUUUCCAAAUUAGGGGAGUGUUAGUGGCUUUGUGCCUUGGUCUUCUUCACUUCCCUGUGAUCUUAGGAGGCAGUUGUAAGUAAGCCAUUAGUUAUUUUGUCAUCAUUCCAUACGAACAGAAAUUCCUUACUGUUCCUGGGCUGCUGGAAAACUAAAACAGAUACAUAUCUCUCCCUUUAUAAGCAAUUUUA